CAUUACAGAGUUCCUGCCCUCACGGGUAGAAACCCCACCCUUGUGUAUAUUAUAUUGUUGCUUUAGCAGGUCGCCCUCUGGGGCGUCGGCCUCGGCUGACUGUGCCUGCUAGAGGACCCUAAACUUUGAAAUACAGUGUCGUCUGAGUACUAUUUAAUAGUUAAAACUUUCAACAACGGAUCUCUUGGUUCUGGCAUCGAUGAAGAACGCAGCGAAAUGCGAUAAGUAAUGUGAAUUGCAGAAUUCAGUGAAUCAUCGAAUCUUUGAACGCACAUUGCGCCCCUUGGUAUUCCGGGGGGCAUGCCUGUUCGAGCGUCAUUUAGACCAACUCCCGCUCCGGCGGGGUCUUGGGCUGCGCCUUUGGGCGGGCCUUAAAACCAGUGGCGGUGCCCUAAGGCUCUACGCGUAGUAAUUCUUCUCGCGAUAGGGUCCUUGCGGUGUCCUGCCAGCAACCCCCAACUCUCUAGGGUUGACCUCGGAUC
rnacentral:rRNA from 1 species